GACGAACCGUGCGAACGUUGUUCGGAAUCACUGGGCUUAAAGGGCGCGUAGGCGGGCCCGCAAGUCAGGGGUGAAAUCCCACGGCUCAACCGUGGAAGUGCCUUUGAUACUGCGGGUCUGGAGGGAGGUAGGGGCGUGCGGAACUUCCGGUGGAGCGGUGAAAUGCGUAGAUAUCGGAAGGAACACCGGUGGCGAAAGCGGCGCGUUGGACCUCUACUGACGCUGAGGCGCGAAAGCCAGGGGAGCAAACGGG
rnacentral:rRNA from 1 species